AGUGAGCUCAGUGGUAGAGCACUUGCUUAGCAUGCAAAAGACCCUAGGUUCCAUCCCUAGCACUG
rnacentral:tRNA from 1 species